AUCCAUCUGAAGAGUCCCACGUAGUACGAAACGCUCGUUCUGGAU
rfam:Schistosoma mattheei strain Denwood, Zambia genome assembly, scaffold: SMTD_scaffold0005326